rfam:Camelus ferus unplaced genomic scaffold scaffold429, whole genome shotgun sequence.
GAGGGAAUAGCUCAAGUGGUAGAGCACAUGCUUAGCAUUCAUGAGGUCCUGGGUUCGAUCCCCAGUACCUCUU